UCAGGCAUGGUGGAGUGGGAACACGGGCUCUUCUUCUAGUUAAAAUUUGCUGAUUAUAGGGGCAGUCCAGGGUUCGAAUCCCUGUGUCUGAA